ensembl:lncRNA
AGAACUAUUCCUCAAGGCCACCUUAAAAAAACAAAAACCUGUUAGGAAGUCUGACUCAAUGGAAUCAAAACAAAGAAGUGAUGGUGGCUCAAGACUUUUGCGCAGUGUGGCAUUAAUUCAUAUAGAGCAGCGUUUACCUCUCCUCAGGUUUGAGGGAUCUUCCUGAAGGCGGUGAUUUCAUACCUUUUCUUUUGAACUGCUUAUCAAAUUACCUCUUUGGCCACACACUACAACUUGGGGUUAAACACGAAGUUGUUUAAAUCAUAAAUAUUAGUUUAAAUUCCUCUGUUUUUUUAUUGUAAAGCAGCAGCAGCAUCUUUGUACUCUGGUGCUCGGUGGAUUCAAUGCACCGUGCUCUCAUUAAACCUUGGCAUGAAAAGUGUAAGUGCCACCGGCUCUUAGCAGAGAACUCGCUUCCUAGAGUCAGAGAGUCGUCAUAAUAAUGCUCAGCUCCCACUACAGUUGUCUUCCUGUGUUAAUGUUUGGUGAAUAAUGCUGCAUCUUUUGUCAGUUUUAUUCUGACAGCCCAGGUGAACACAGGCGGCCCAGAAACACGGAGCAGGGGUCUUUUCCACUGAAUAAUGCAUGCGGCUAAAGUAAUCCUGUCUGUGCAGAUAGUAGGGCAGCCUUUCCCUGCCUGGUCAGCCAGAAGGCAGAAGGUAGGUAGGUGUGUGUCAGUGAAGGCCUCGUGAAACUGCAGACUGCAGGGCACGUGCACACUUGGCGUGCUGAUCUACACCUUCCAGCUGUGUUUUAUUUUGUGUGUUAUACUUUUUCUCCCUCCUCUUUCCUUCGGAGGCAGUAACAAAGCUUUGUGUUUACCUGACAUGCCUCACAGUUUUCCUGCAGCUGUGUUGGGAAUUGUCAAAACAGACUACAAAUAACGAGUCAGCUCUAAAAUCCCACCGCCUCGUUUCGCCUGCUCAGCCAAACAGUCGAGCCGGCGGUCGCUCUCGUAUUGAUACAUGCGAAAGCAAAUGCAGUCUAAUGUUGGACUCGAGUAGGCUUCGAGUGAUUUGUCGUUUCGCUGCUAAAGCCUAAUUGAUUUCUGAGCCAUUACGAAUUCAUGCACGUUUUCUUAGCUGCUGACUGAACGGGAAAUGCAUUCGCCCAAAACCACGCUGACGGCAGAAUUUUUCAGCAGGACGCUGUUUGUCAAAGUGAUUCCUCCACAGCAACCGUGAAACUAAACUGCAUUUUUAUUUAAAGCUUAGAAAUCACCAGUCGCAUCUUGUCUCCGGUGCUUUACCAGCUGUCCUCACGGUUUCCAACAAGGAGCAAACACACACCUUUAUUUUGAAAAUAUUAGAUAUUUUAUUUAAGCAUACACAAGUAAGCAUACACCAUAUUCUUCAUAAUUGAAGUUGUGUAACCUUGUGCAUAAUAGUUAAACCAUGCUAGCCCUCA